ACUACUAACAAUCACACACCCAAGGUCCUGGAAAGAAAUAAGAGAGGAUAGAGUGAGCCUGGCCCAGCUGUGAUUCUCAGAAGACAGAGCACUGAGCACAUGCACCAUGGCCUGGACUCCUCUGUCACUUCUCAUCCUCACUCUCUGUACAGGCUCUGUGACCUCCAGUGAACUGACUCAGCCUCCCUCAGUGUCAGUUGCCCUGGGUCAGACGGCUACAGUCACCUGCACUGGAGGGGAGUUAGAGUAUUUGUAUGUACACUGGUACCAGCAGAAGCCAGGCCAAGCCCCUUUGACAAUCAUUUAUGGUGAUAAGGAGAGGCCCUCAGGGAUCCCAGAGCGAUUCUCUGGCUCCAAGUCGGGGAGCACGGCCACCCUGACCAUCAGCAGCGCACAGGCUGAGGACGAGGCUGACUAUUACUGUCAGUCCUUUGACAUCAGUAGUAAAGCUCACGGUGACACAUGCACAUGGGGAAGUGAGACAGAAACCCCUUCCCCACCUGUGUCACCCUCUCCUCUCAGCCCCAGGAGACCAAUGCCCAGAGCAGUGAGCACGUCUGGCCCAGGUCCCGGGUCUGAGGUCCCUAGUUUGCCCCCUUCCGCCCAGUCCUCCAGGCAGACUGCACAGGGCAGAUCAGCAUGGAACUUGUAA